GACGAACGCUGGCGGCGUGCCUAAUACAUGCAAGUAGGACGCAGUUGCGAACGGGUGAGUAACGCGUAGGUAACUACCUAUUAGAGGGGGAUAACUAAUGUGAACGCUAGCUAAUACCGCAUACUAGUAGAUGGACCUGCGUUGUAUUAGCUAGUAGGUAGGGGAAUGGCCUACCUAGGCAACGAUACAUAGCCGACCCGGGAGGGUGAUCGGGCACAAUGGGACCGGGACACGGCCCAGACUCCUACGGGAGGCAGCAGUAGGGAAUCUUCGGCAAUGGGGGGAAACCUGACCGAGCAACGCCGCGUGAGUGAAGAAGGUUUUCGGAUCGGAAAGCUCUGGUGGUAAGGAAGCGGUACUUAACCAGAAAGGUACGGCUAACUACGUGCCAGCAGCCGCGGUAAUAC
rnacentral:rRNA from 1 species